CAGCAUCCUCAAGUUCCUCUGCUCACUCCCACAUAUGGCGCCUGCUGUCUCUGUUGGUGCUCAUUCUUUGCCUCCUGAAGCUGAUCGGAUUAGCGUUGUUCGGGAUCAGAUUUUUCCAAGCACAGAGUCAAGAAAAUGGAGAAGCAACAUCGCCCAACGACAAGCCAGGCAACCCACAUGCAGAUAGGAGUUGGAGCUGUUCCAAACAGCUGGAACAUCUCUCGUCCCAGAACUCCAACCUGUCUGCUGCUUUGCGGGAAAUGUCUACAAAACUUUGCCAAGGAAUCACCAGGAACCAGCCAGGACUUUGUAUCAUCCAACCUACAAUUUUGCCACUGGGUGGGUUUAUUGCGAAAAAAAGACAGCAACCAGUGGAAGUGGGUGGAUGGCUCAACUCUCUCUCCUGAACUGAAAUUAUUUUUCUCACCUGAUGAGACUGAAGGCAGGAUGUGUGCUUAUAACUUGGGAAAUCUCAUUUGUUCAACAUUUUGCAAGAAUACUUAUCACUUCAUCUGUGAGAAGGCAGCUAGUCUGGUGAGACCGGAGCUGCAAAUUUAGGCAUCGAAUAAGAAACCGAGGAGAGGCUGAGAUGAGAGUACUGAAGACUUGGAAGAUCUCUCUGGACACCUGAGGGCCAGGCUGCAGGGCAGAGGCUGUGUUGCUGGGGGCCUUGCUGGUUUUGUACUCUCCCAAGCUGAAUUGUCACUUCUAAGACCCCUCCUGAUUGGUGGGUCCAGGCCAGGCCCCUGUAGACCCCAACUUCUCCCUAUUCCAGGUCUCAUCUUUCAGCUUUAUUGCCUAAUACACACAUAGGGACUUGUUCAACUCCAGACUUUUCGCUCCCUGCCUAACACCCACACAAACACACACACACGCACAGAGGCAAAUACUGAAAACCACCCAGGCACAUAAACAUCCUGAUCGUCUAGGCUUCUUCUCAUCUUUUUAGACAUGUUCUCAGUAAGUCACCUUUCCACUCCUUAGGACCCUGCCCAGAAGGAAGGCUAUUUUCUAAAAAAUGUCAAUGACUCUCCUGUUGAUAUCAGUUGGAACCCAGCCAAUUGCAGGGAAAAGAAUGAGUCAAGGAGGGAGGAGCUAGAAAAUUGCAGACCACAGGACAUCUGCUAGGGAAAGUGGAGCAGAGCUUCCUGAGAUUGGGAAGCCAAGGAAAUAGAUAAAAGAAUGACUGCAUGAUGAUGAAUAAUGCAGUUUUCUCAAGAUCUGAUUUAAGGACUCCAGUAUGCAGUCUCUAUAACUAGCAAGUUCUGGUUGUCAAUUCAUGAGCAAAAUGAGUUCCAAAGUCACUGCUAUUAGAGGAAUGAGUGGCUUUGGAUGGACUGGACUUCACAGAGAAGAGGCUCGGCAUUCAUUCUUCGGCCCUAAAUCCAGAUGUCAGACCUUCAGGGGGCAGGACUAGUUGUGGAAGCUUCCCAUGUCUUUGCGGGAACCAGAUUUAAAGGAUGUUAGAUGAGAGCAAGAAGCCCCUGGGCUCCAGUGGGGGUCAUCAGAGGGAGCGCCACGUCACCCCCAGGAAUGGGCUCUGUUAAAAUUCUGGUCAAUUGGAGUGCAGUGGAGCUGGGAGGAAUCCCUCAAAAAGUGAUCAGUACAUCACAUACACCAAAGCCCAUUCCAAUAACAGACACACACAAGCACACACUGUUCAUGAAGAUAAGAAGUAAUCCCAGUCUUCAGGUUAACCUGACUUGCAGUGGACUAAACUGGUAAUCAGUGAGUCUCACAGUGACAGUGGGAUCUCAUUCACCAGUCACUGGAGACUAGGCUAGAUCACAGGGCAACAGAAAUAAUUCUGCAUGCUAAGGAAAGGACUCUGACAUCCAUGCACCUCACUCAGUGUGA